AUUGAACGCUGGCGGCAUGCCUUACACAUGCAAGUCGAACGGCAGCACGGGAGCAAUCCUGGUGGCGAGUGGCGAACGGGUGAGUAAAGCAUCGGAACGUGCCCAGUCGUGGGGGAUAACGUAGCGAAAGCUACGCUAAUACCGCAUACGAUCUGUGGAUGAAAGCGGGGGACCGUAAGGCCUCGCGCGAUUGGAGCGGCCGAUGUCAGAUUAGGUAGUUGGUGAGGUAAAGGCUCACCAAGCCGACGAUCUGUAGCUGGUCUGAGAGGACGACCAGCCACACUGGGACUGAGACACGGCCCAGACUCCUACGGGAGGCAGCAGUGGGGAAUUUUGGACAAUGGGCGCAAGCCUGAUCCAGCAAUGCCGCGUGCAGGAUGAAGGCCUUCGGGUUGUAAACUGCUUUUGUACGGAGCGAAACGGCUUCCACUAAUACUGGGGGCUAAUGACGGUACCGUAAGAAUAAGCACCGGCUAACUACGUGCCAGCAGCCGCCGUAA
rnacentral:rRNA from 1 species